rnacentral:misc_RNA from 1 species
GAUGAAGAACGCAGCGAAAUGCGAUAAGUAAUGUGAAUUGCAGAAUUCAGUGAAUCAUCGAAUCUUUGAACGCACAUUGCGCCCGCCAGUAUUCUGGCGGGCAUGCCUGUCUGAGCGUCGUUUCGACCCUCGCGCCCGGCUUCUGUCGGGGGCGGUGUUGGGGAUCGGCCACACCCUUCAGUGGGAGGCCGGCCCCUAAAUUCAGUGGCGACCACGCUGUAGCCUCCCCUGCGUAGUACUAAAACCACCUCGCAGGCGGAGAGCGGUGCGGCCCGCCGUAAAACCCCCCAACUUUUACAAGGUCGACCUCAGAUCAGGUAGGAAUACCCGCUGAACUUAAGCAUAUCAAUAAGCGGGGGA